rnacentral:rRNA from 1 species
UACGAAGGGGGCUAGCGUUGUUCGGAUUUACUGGGCGUAAAGGGCGCGUAGGCGGCCACCGCAAGUCGACUGUGAAAUCUCCGGGCUUAACCCGGAAAGGUCAGCCGAUACUGCGGGGCUAGAGUGCAGAAGGGGCAACUGGAAUUCUCGGUGUAGCGGUGAAAUGCGUAGAUAUCGAGAGGAACACCUGCGGCGAAGGCGGGUUGCUGGGCUGACACUGACGCUGAGGCGCGAAAGCCAGGGGAGCGAACGGG